rnacentral:piRNA from 1 species
UUUUUUUGUUUCUUUCUCCUA